rnacentral:pre_miRNA from 1 species
AGCCUUCUGUAUCCCUGCCGAGAUUUCGUCGAAAAUCAGUCCAUUGUGGCUGAUGCAACUUCCAAAAUAAGUGAAGUA